rnacentral:hammerhead_ribozyme from 1 species
AUGCCGCUAACGAGUCCCAAAUGGGAUGAAACGCGCGUCCUGGAU